rnacentral:misc_RNA from 1 species
GAUGAAGAACGUAGCGAAAUGCGAUAAGUAAUGUGAAUUGCAGAAUUCAGUGAAUCAUCGAAUCUUUGAACGCACAUUGCGCCCGCCAGUAUUCUGGCGGGCAUGCCUGUUCGAGCGUCAUUUCAACCAUCAAGCCCCAGGCUUGUGUUGGGGACCUGCGGCUGCCGCAGGCCCUGAAAACCAGUGGCGGGCUCGCUGUCACACCGGGCGUAGUAGAUUUUAUCUCGCUCAGGGCGUGCUGCGGGUUCCGGCCGUUAAAAAGCCUUUUUUACCCAAGGUUGACCUCGGACCAGGUAGGAAGACCCGCUGAACUUAAGCAUAUCAAUAAGCGGAGGA